AUGAAGGCUUUCGGGUCGUAAAACUCUGUUGUUAGGGAAGAACAAGUGCUAGUUGAAUAAGCUGGCACCUUGACGGUACCUAACCAGAAAGCCACGGCUAACUACGUGCCAGCAGCCGCGGUAAUACGUAGGUGGCAAGCGUUAUCCGGAAUUAUUGGGCGUAAAGCGCGCGCAGGUGGUUUCUUAAGUCUGAUGUGAAAGCCCACGGCUCAACCGUGGAGGGUCAUUGGAAACUGGGAGACUUGAGUGCAGAAGAGGAAAGUGGAAUUCCAUGUGUAGCGGUGAAAUGCGUAGAGAUAUGGAGGAACACCAGUGGCGAAGGCGACUUUCUGGUCUGUAACUGACACUGAGGCGCGAAAGCGUGGGGAGCAAACAGGAUUAGAUACCCUGGUAA
rnacentral:rRNA from 1 species